ACUGGGAGGGAAGACAAAGCAUUUGGCUCAGAAGACUUUGGCUUCUGAUAGUCAUGGAUUCACUAGGCUGCUGAGGGAGGGUCAUAACCUGUUGGAACCAUUUUUCGUGAGAACCUGAGCAUGGAGACUGUGAAUUGAGACGAGACCAAGAGAAGUGACAAGACCAGGACCUCCCAAACUCCGGAAGAUGUGUGACCAACCAAAAUGCAACCCAUGCUGCCAGCCCAAACCCCAGUGUUGCAUUCAGCCCAAGUGCUGCGCUCAGCCCAAGUGCUGUGCUCAGCCCAAGUGCUGCACUCAACCCAAGUGCUGCGCUCAGUCCAAGUGCUGCUGUUUGGAGCCUAAGCCCGAGUGCACGUGCCUGAAUAAGGAGGCUGAGCCCGCGUCACCCCAAACACUGAAUGAGAGCUCCCAAACCCAAAAGCAGACUCAAAGUCCAAAACAGGGGCCCAAGCCAGGUACCCGGGUGCAGACAAAGCCAAGCAAGUAGGUUGCCCCAAACAAGAAGAUGGGCCAUGCCAUUACCGGUGGGGUCAGGCUAGACCUACAUUUAGAAAAGCUGUUUCUCAUUGACCACCAUUUACUCCCAACCAGUAGCCCCUAUUUCCCUUCAUAGCCACCUCCGCACCUUAGGGAGGCCCCCAACUGGAAUGGAAGGUUGAAGAGACUAGAAUCAUCUUUCCUGGUGAUCCUGACAUUAGAUAGCACAAAAAUAAAAGAGCAAUAAAAAGAGUG